rnacentral:rRNA from 1 species
UACGUAGGGAGCAAGCGUUGUUCGGAUUUACUGGGCGUAAAGGGCGCGUAGGCGGCGCGGUAAGUCACUUGUGAAAUCUCUGAGCUUAACUCAGAACGGCCAAGUGAUACUGCAGUGCUAGAGUGCAGAAAGGGCAAUCGGAAUUCUUGGUGUAGCGGUGAAAUGCGCAGAUAUCAGGAGGAACACCAAUUGCGAAGGCAGCUCGCUGGGACGUUACUGACGCUGAUGCGCGAAAGCCAGGGGAGCGAACGGG